rnacentral:rRNA from 1 species
ACCCGACUGCUAUCAGAGUGGGACUAAGCCAUGCGAGUCGACACAGCAAUGUGUGGCAUACGGCUCAGUAACACGUAGUCAACAUGCCCAGGGGACGUGGAUAACCUCGGGAAACUGAGGAUAAACCGCGAUAGGUCACUACUUCUGGAAUGGGUAAUGACCCAAACCUAUAUGGCCCCUGGAUUGGACUGCGGCCGAUCAGGCUGUUGGUGAGGUAAUGGCCCACCAAACCUGUAACCGGUACGGGCUCUGAGAGGAGGAGCCCGGAGAUGGGCACUGAGACAAGGGCCCAGGCCCUAUGGGGCGCAGCAGGCGCGAAACCUCUGCAAUAGGCGAAAGCUUGACAGGGUUACUCUGAGUGAUUUCCGUUAAGGAGAUCUUUUGGCACCUCUAAAAAUGGUGCAGAAUAAGGGGUGGGCAAGUCUGGUGUCAGCCGCCGCGGUAAUACCAGCACCCCGAGUGGUCGGGACGUUUAUUGGGCCUAAAGCAUCCGUAGCCGGUUCUACAAGUCUUCCGUUAAAUCCACCUGCUCAAUAGAUGGGCUGCAGAAGAUACUAUGGAGCUAGGGGGCGGGAGAGGCAAGCGGUACUCGAUGGGUAGGGGUAAAAUCCGUUGAUCCAUUGAAGACCACCAGUGGCGAAGGCGGCUUGCCAGAACGCGCUCGACGGUGAGGGAUGAAAGCUGGGGGAGCAAACCGGAUUAGAUACCCGGGUAGUCCCAGCUGUAAACGAUGCAGACUCGGUGAUGAGUUGGCUUUAUGCCAACUCAGUGCCGCAGGGAAGCCGUUAAGUUUGCCGCCUGGGGAGUACGGUCGCAAGACUGAAACUUAAAGGAAUUGGCGGGGGAGCACCACAAGGGGUGAAGCCUGCGGUUC